CUCUGAAUUGUUACUGCUGCUGCUUGGCUGAAGCUGAGACCUUUCACCAUCACUGGAGCUGCCCAGAAUCAUCAUGGUAGCUGCUAAGAGAGUAGAACGGAUGUUAGAACUGCCAAUGGAGCUGCUGGGUUUAGUGAUUUCCGCGAGUUUUGACUUUGAGUGACACAGGUUCGAAGACUCCGUUUAAAGCUGCAAGCGAUUAUGGAACUUAUUUAUGAGUUAAGUUUAUACCUUGAGUUUCUUUCAUAGAAUUCUGUCGCCUUUGUUGCUUUAGUUUUUAUUUUAUGCAGAGGGAUAUGAGUUGUAUCUAAGUUACACUUGAAUUUGUUUGUAUAAUAUUUACUAAUAAUUAUAUGAUUAUUAUUAUUUGGUGAUGCUUGAUAUAUGAUUUGAUAAA